UACGUAGGGUGCGAGCGUUGCCGUGAUUUAUUGGGCGUAAAGGGCGCGUAGGCGGCCACGCACGUCCGUUGUGAAAUCGCCCGGCUCAACUGGGCGGGGUCGGCGGAUACGGCGUGGCUGGAGCAAGCUAGGGGGCAAUGGAAUUCCCGGUGUAGUGGUGGAAUGCGUAGAUAUCGGGAGGAACACCAGUGGCGAAGGCGGUUACCUGGAGCUUUGCUGACGCUGAGGCGCGAAAGCGUGGGGAGCGAGUCCGG
rnacentral:rRNA from 1 species